rnacentral:rRNA from 1 species
GACGAACGCUGGCGGCGUGCUUAACACAUGCAAGUCGAACGGUGAAGCUCCAGCUUGCUGGAGUGGAUCAGUGGCGAACGGGUGAGUAACACGUGAGCAACCUGCCCCAGACUCUGGAAUAAGCGCUGGAAACGGCGUCUAAUACUGGAUACGAGAUCAAGCCGCAUGGUUAUGGUCGGGAAAGUUUUUCGGUUUGGGAUGGGCUCGCGGCCUAUCAGCUUGUUGGUGAGGUAAUGGCUCACCAAGGCGACGACGGGUAGCCGGCCUGAGAGGGCGACCGGCCACACUGGGACUGAGACACGGCCCAGACUCCUACGGGAGGCAGCAGUGGGGAAUAUUGCACAAUGGGCGAAAGCCUGAUGCAGCGACGCCGCGUGAGGGAUGACGGCCUUCAGGUUGUAAACCUCUUUCAGCAGGGAAGAAGCGAAAGUGACGGUACCUGCAGAAGAAGCACCGGCUAACUACGUG